GAUGAACGCUAGCGAUAGGCUUAACACAUGCAAGUCGAGGGGUAACGUGUUGGAAGCUUGCUUCCGAUGACGACGACCGGCGGAUGGGUGCGUAACGCGUAUGCAACUUGCCUCACAGAGGAGAAUAACCCGGAGAAAUCCGGACUAAUGCUCCAUACACUCUUAGGGACACAUGUUCCUGGGAGGAAAGAUUUAUCGCUGUGAGAUAGGCAUGCGUCCUAUUAGGUAGUUGGUGAGGUAACGGCUCACCAAGCCGACGAUAGGUAGGGGUGCUGAGAGGCAGAUCCCCCACAUUGGGACUGAGACACGGCCCAAACUCCUACGGGAGGCAGCAGUGAGGAAUAUUGGUCAAUGGAGGAAACUCUGAACCAGCCAAGUCGCGUGAAGGAUGAAUGUCCUAAGGAUUGUAAACUUCUUUAGCGAGCGAGUAAGGACUUCUACGUGAUGGGAGUUUGAAAGUAGCUCGAGAAUAAGUAUCGGCUAACUCCGUGCCAGCCGCCGCGGUAAAAGGGCGAAUUCG
rnacentral:rRNA from 1 species